rnacentral:antisense_RNA from 1 species
UGUAGGAGCGGGUUUACCCGCGAACACCGGCGAAGCCGGUGCCAUGCACCGCGGUGUCAUCUUCGCGGGUAAACCCGCUCCCACA